CCCUUAGAUGUUCUGGGCCGCACGCGCGCUACAAUGAUGAAUUCAACGAGUUUAUAACCUUGGUUGAAAAGCCUGGGUAAUCUUUUGAACUUUCGUCGUGAUGGGGCUAGACCCUUGCAAUUAUUGGUCUCCAACGAGGAAUUCCCAGUAAGCGCAAGUCAUCAGCUUGCGUUGAUUACGUCCCUGCCCUUUGUACACACCGCCCGUCGCUACUACCGAUUGAAUGGUUUAGUGAGAUCCUUGGAUCGGCCCUGUCGCGGCUGGCAACGGCCGCGUCGGCGCGUCGAGAAGACGAUCAAACUUGAUCAUUUAGAGGAAGUAAAAGUCGUAACA
rnacentral:rRNA from 1 species